rnacentral:miRNA from 1 species
CCACCAUUGGAUGUAAAUCUAAGG